UUUGAAUUCCCUGCCUGAUUCCUACCGACCAUUCCUCACUCAUUAUAGAAUGACAAAGCCUGUACUCAACUUCCAUGGUCUUUUGGGGUUGUUGCAGAACUUUGAGAAGGAUAACCAGCUCAGGAAAGGGCCGGUUAAUGUGGUUGGUGGUGGGGCAGGACGUUGUCCCUUUGGGAAAGGGAAAAACAAAAAUAAAAUUAAAAAUAAAAAUAAAAGGAAGAGAAAGGUGCUAAGUGUCGGGACAUCUUGUCAGAUGAUAAGAAAGCGGGCUGACCCUAGAAAGGCGGUGUGCUACCACUGUCAGAAACUGGGACACUGGAAAAGGAACUGUCCUCUGUAUGUAGCCACCCUUGAUCCAAACAGGCCUAGGAGAAAUGAGCAAACAGUUGCUGGGCAAGGGACUGCAUGUCAAUAAGAGAUUUGAGGAUAAUGAGAGGUUCCUGAAUGUUGGAGAUGGAAGGACUGUUCCAGUUCUAGCAUUGGGAGAUCUUAAGUUAGUUUUCAAUUCUCAAGUAAUCGCCUUAAGUGACUGUCACUUUUGUCCGUCGUUCUUAAUGAACAUCAUUUCUAUAGGGCUUUUAGCCCAAAACGGUUAUGAAAUAUCAAUAAAGAAUCGUUCUUGUA